rnacentral:tRNA from 1 species
AUUUAAAUAGCUUAAUUUAGAGCACAGUGUUGAAGAUACUGGGGAAAUAAAUCAUUAUUUUUAAAUA